GACAGACAGGUAUAAAGAAGCAGGUAGGCAUAAAAAAAGAACCACAGAAGGUGGAAGAGAUCACACAGGAUCAAGAUGGAGAAAAGAAUGGAGCUUGUACUGUUUGCUUGCAUGACCUUCAUGCUGCUUAGCAGCAAGGGAGAAACACAAGAGGCACCUUGCAGCAACGAAACAGCCACCUCUGGUAAUAUCUACAAUCAGACCGUGGCCCCAGCAAGUUCCCAAAUGACCUCAACUACGACAGCCAAAAGCAGCCACACAGUCACACCAGGUGAUACCACCAAAGAGACCACGGCCACAGCAAGUUCCCAAAUGACUUAAGCUCAGAUAACUGUCAGCAACCGUACAGAAACAUGGCCAUCUUCUUCAUCUCCCACAUCACUGUCCACAGACACAAAUUCAUCAACACAGCCCAUUGUGACCGCAGGAACCACAGAUACUCCUGAAAGCACAGAAAACCCUAAAACUGUGACAAUUCCUCCUAGAUCCACACACUCAAGCCUCCCUACGCCUACAAGAGGAGGAUCUUCCUCUUUGUUUGGGUCCUGUGGCCACCUUCUGGUACCUCUAAUAUAUAUUCUGAUCCACUGAAUGUGAAGCGGGAAGAACCACUGUGCAUUGUCCAUUAUUGUGCAUUUGCUUUUAAAAUUGCUUAUUCAAAUUUUUUAAUAAUCACAGUGU